CGCGCGCAGGUGGUUCCUUAAGUCUGAUGUGAAAGCCCACGGCUCAACCGUGGAGGGUCAUUGGAAACUGGGGAACUUGAGUGCAGAAGAGGAAAGUGGAAUUCCAAGUGUAGCGGUGAAAUGCGUAGAGAUUUGGAGGAACACCAGUGGCGAAGGCGACUUUCUGGUCUGUAACUGACACUGAGGCGCGAAAGCGUGGGGAGCAAACAGGAUUAGAUACCCGUGUAGU
rnacentral:rRNA from 1 species